rnacentral:rRNA from 1 species
UACGUAGGGGGCUAGCGUUGUCCGGAAUCAUUGGGCGUAAAGCGCGUGUAGGCGGCCCGGUAAGUCCGCUGUGAAAGUCGGGGGGCUCAACCCUCGGAUGCCGGUGGAUACUGUCGGGCUUGAGUACGGAAGAGGCGAGUGGAAUUCCUGGUGUAGCGGUGAAAUGCGCAGAUAUCAAGGAGGAACACCAAUUGCGAAGGCAGCUCGCUGGGACGUUACUGACGCUGAGACGCGAAAGCGUGGGGAGCAAACAGG